ACUGUUCACCCAAAAAAUGUAUGAUAGCAGGCCUUGAAAGAUAAUCCUGUGGGUCUCUUAGGACCACCAUAAGUGUACGUGAAAGUUCCAUUUGCAGACCACCAUCGAACAAAGUCUCCUGAGAACACACAAGGAGGAACGCAAAAUUCACUCUUCUGACGGUGUUUUCCAACAAACUCUCAUCACACUUUGAAGGAAUCAAUCCACAAACCUCUAUGGCAUGGAGAAGCUGGCAGCCCCUGUUUUGAGGACAUGGGGCAAGAGACAUGAAGAAGCAGGUCCCUGAGCGGUACG